UUACGGGAGGCAGCAGUAGGGAAUAUUGGACAAUGGGUGCAAGCCUGAUCCAGCCAUGCCGCGUGCAGGAAGAAAGCCUUCUGGGUUGUAAACUGCUUUUUUCAGGGGAUAAAAUACUCGUGCGCGAGGAAUUGAAAGUACCUGGAGAAUAAGCCACGGCUAACUACGUGCCAGCAGCCGCGGUAAUACGUAGGUGGCAAGCGUUGUCCGGAUUUAUUGGGUUUAAAGGGUGCGUAGGCGGUCAAUUAAGUCAGUGGUGAAAUACGGCAGCUUAACUGUCGAGGUGCCAUUGAUACUGGUUGACUUGAGUACUGAUGAGGUAGGCGGAAUGGACGGUGUAGCGGUGAAAUGCUUAGAGAUCGUCCAGAACACCGAUAGCGAAGGCAGCUUACUAAGGAGUAACUGACGCUGAGGCACGAAAGUGUGGGGAUCAAACAGGAUUAGAUACCCCGGUAGC
rnacentral:rRNA from 1 species